rnacentral:tRNA from 1 species
ACCAGCAUGGCAUAGUGGUUUGAGCAUUGGACUAUGACUCUGGAGACCAGGGUUCAAAUCCCCGCUCAGCCA